UAAAACUUCUCUUUUUAAUGAAAGGAUGUUAAUGACUGGUACGGACCACCAAGUAACUCAGAUGGCUCAACGAAAUCCGUUACAAUUAAUGCGGACUCCACCUGUGGCAACGACUGGGUUUGUGAACAUCGCUGGCGUCAAAUAAGGAACAUGGUUAUCUUCCGUAACGUGGUGGAUGGUGAGCCUUUCUCCAACUGGUGGGACAACAACAGCAAUCAGGUGGCUUUUGGACGUGGUAGUAAAGGAUUCAUCGUCUUUAAUAAUGAUGAUUGGCACAUGAAUGUGGAUUUGUACACGGGACUGCCUGCUGGGACCUACUGUGAUGUCAUUUCUGGACAGAAGGAGGGCAGCAGGUGUACUGGAAUACAGGUGUACGUUUCUGGUAAUGGAAAGGCCAACUUCCAGAUCAGUAACAAUGCUGAAGACCCAUUCAUUGCAAUUCACGUUGGUGCUAAAUUGUAACUCCAGUGAAAUGUGUUUCUGCAAUGUCUCUGACUAUGCAACCGCCUUGUAUCAAGAAUGAGUGAUUCUCUGCAUCUAGCGAAUAAUAAAUGGGCUUUAAACUAA